CCUGGUCUCCGCGGGCUCCCUCUGCGCAUGUGCAGCCUUGGUCCCUUUUCUUCCCGACCGCCUUUGCAGGUCCGGUGAGAAGUUCUUGGAGUUUCUCAGUUACCGGCGGAAGCAGGAAGUCUUGGGCUGCCCUCAGGCCCAGGCGGGACUCCGCAGUGCCCGAGUCUGGCUUGGACCUUAGCUCUGGGAAGAUAGGGAAUUUGUUUGACCAGAUCCAAGAAAAGACUUCAGUGAGUCAAAAGGAGCAGCUAAUAAGAGAUGUGGUGACCCCUUGGGGUGUAACCAUUAUGCCCUGGUGGCAGACUCCUUCAAAUGAGACCACUCAACUCAGCAACUUGCAGCACUUGAAAUUCAUGUAGCUUUCUUCUUACUUGUGCAAGAAUUACCUAUAUGGAUCCUGCAUUAUGGAAAAUCUGCAAAGAUGUUCCUUGUAUUUUUUGAAGGUCUUGGAUGCAUGCUUAAGGACUGGUGAGUUGAAAGGGCACAGUGAAGAGAUAAAUAUGUCUCAGGUUGAGAAGCAUUUCCAAUGCUUGAUCUACUCUUUCCCUUAAGCAGAAUGGGGUAAAUAUAGAAUAAGAUUACAAUAAAAAAUAUUUGGUUAUCUUUAAGUGAAAGUUU
rnacentral:lncRNA from 1 species